rnacentral:rRNA from 1 species
GACGAACGCUGGCGGCGUGCUUAACACAUGCAAGUCGAACGGAAAGGCCCCUUCGGGGGUACUCGAGUGGCGAACAGGUGAGUAACACGUGAGUAACCUGCCCUUGACUUCGGGAUAACUUCAGGAAACUGGGGCUAAUACCGGAUAGGAAUCCUUGCCGCGUGGUGGGGGUUGGAAAGCUUCGGGGGUUUUGGAUGGACUCGCGGCUUAUCAGCUUGUUGGUGGGGUAGUGGCUUACCAAGGCUUUGACGGGUAGCCGGCCUGAGAGGGCGACCGGCCACAUUGGGACUGAGAUACGGCCCAGACUCCUACGGGAGGCAGCAGUGGGGAAUAUUGCACAAUGGGCGGAAGCCUGAUGCAGCAACGCCGCGUGCGGGAUGACGGCCUUCGGGUUGUAAACCGCUUUCAGCAGGGGCGAAGCUUGUGGUGACGGUACCUGCAGAAGAAGCACCGGCUAACUACGUG